CGCCAGAGGACUAUCAAACUCCAGUCAGUAAACGUUGCAGUCUGAAAAAAAUAUUAAAUAAACUAAAACUUUCAACAACGGAUCUCUUGGUUCUGGCAUCGAUGAAGAACGCAGCGAAAUGCGAUAAGUAAUGUGAAUUGCAGAAUUCAGUGAAUCAUCGAAUCUUUGAACGCACAUUGCGCCCCUUGGUAUUCCGGGGGGCAUGCCUGUUCGAGCGUCAUUUCAACCCUCAAGCUCUGCUUGGUAUUGGGCACCGUCCUUUGCGGGCGCGCCUCAAAGACCUCGGCGGUGGCGUCUUGCCUCAAGCGUAGUAGAAUACACCUCGCUUCGGAGCGUAAGGCGUCGCCCGCCGGACGAACCUUCUGAACUUUUCUCAAGGUUGAGCCUCGGAUCAGGUAUCGCGUAGGCGAAUCCCCCAG
rnacentral:rRNA from 1 species